GGUCCCGUAGCUCAGUCGGUUAGAGCGUGGUGCUAAUAACGCCAAGGUCGCGAGUUCGACCCUCGUCGGGACCA
rfam:Rasamsonia emersonii CBS 393.64 ctg1118621760272, whole genome shotgun sequence.